GUCAGAGUGGCCGAGUGGUUAAGGCGCCCGCCUCAAGAGCGGGUCCUCCAUGGGGUCGUGGGUUCGAAUCCCACCCCUAACA